GGAGCAAGCUCCUCACAGGACCAACCCAAGCAUGGACCUGGGCUGCUCCUGGACCAGGGCUGGGGAACCGUUAUAGUCCUUUCUGGAGAGAACACAGGAGAAGGCCUCAUCCUGCGGCCUCUACUACACCAAGUGAGCCGUGGAGAUACGGGACGAAGUUCAAGAUAAUCGAACUGCGGUUUCCACCAAGCAAAUAAGGAGAAAAGACACAGUGGGAGAAAUGCCUGAGAGAACAGCUGCAAGAGGGAAGAGCGAGAGGGAACAGGGGUAAAGCUCCUGGUGCUGUUUUUUGGGUUAAGGGCCUUGCUCAAGGGCCCAACAGCAGGGGCUUGUAGGGACCACAACUUCAUCUCUCCAGAUACAAGACAGCAUCCCUACGUGCCCACCUGGGGCUCAAACCACCAACUCCGUGGUUGCCAGUCAAACACCCUGCCACUAGACCACCCAAUAACAUCCAUUCCCCUUGCAGGUGUUGAGGUAAGUGACUAAAUCAAGGAUAAUUAUAAAUAAAAUUAUAGGACCCUGUAUUCAUAAAGCAUCUCACAAUAGGAGUGCUGAUGUGGGAGUAGGACUUCGUAGUCUGUCCUCCCCAAGUCCACUCCACAGUGUAAAAGCAGAAUAAAGGUUAACGGAAGAGAGCCAGCGGAUUGUGAUCAGUGGAGCACAAUUUGAAGAGCGUUAUGAACAGCAGAACUGUUGGGGGGAAAAUAAGGAAAUGCGCUCAUUAUUAAAUACACCGUAAACGGAAGUUUAUGCCUUCAUAAACCUAUUCCAAUCGAUCUGAAAACAUUAACGUUCGUAUUAGAUUAAUGGGA